AACAAUGAAAAACAUGCUUGCCCAGGAAUACUAGGGUUACACUUGUUUUUAAGGCAUAAUAUUCAGUCAUAAACGUUGGUUAAAGCGAUCCUUUAUGUUCCCACUUGUUAUUUGUGUCCUCCCAGCAGUCUUGAACGGGAUCCGGGCGACCUUCUCUCAUUGCGAGCUUCCUCUCUUUGUCCAUGUAAGCUCCUCUCACCAGUUUUACCCCCAGACAGAAACCUCCAUCCUUGGACUGAGCAAGGGCCUCCAGCAGGAGAGUCCGAGUCUCCUGAAACUGCUGUUCCUCGCACACCCCUGGUCCUAAUGGAGGAGGAUGAAGAGAGGCCUUCCUUACACACAGUUCAGGGCUGAGCAGCGCCGUGACCUUCAGCUGCAUCAUGGGAUCUUUGCUCCAGGCAUUGCUGUGUGACAUGCGCACGCAUUCUAACAUGGCCUCCAUGUUGUCGUUAUAUCGCUUCUCUCUGCAGAUCCUCCUCGAUGGGGACGGCCAGCAUGGGCCUCAGUCCCAGCAGGCUCAUCUUCUCCAUGGACUUGGAGAUCUCCUUCUCGUUCUCUCCGGCCACAAACUGAGCGUAGACUGUGGGCCUGAGCAGCAAGGAGAACAGGCGCCUACCCAGAAUGGUGCGAGCCACGGACAUCAGCUGCAAAGAGACAACAGGGGUCUCAUGUAAAGAGAUCUGUGUGGCUUUCCUACUAAAAAUAGAUGUUUUGCAGACCAUCAGACUGCAUGGCUCACCUUGUCACAGUUGUUCACCAAGACAGGGAAGGAGCAAAGGCGGAAUACACCCAGAGCACGUAUUAACUCGCCCGUGCUCUUCACCUGGAAUGCUCUGGGAUCCUCAAAGGCCAAAGAGGCGGCCAGGAGGUCAGGCGACUUGUCCGUAACCACCAUCCUGUGGGAGGCUGUGGCCAUAAGCCUCACAGAGAGACUGUACAGGCGUGAGCUGCGCAGGCAA